AGGGUUCAAAUAUUUUGACAUGGCUGUCAGUGAAGUCUGAAAAGUCGAUAUGUGUAUAGUUUCUUAUAAAUUUAACGGGAAUCGGUGAUUGUUCUUCGUGUUUAUGUAUAGGAAUUAAAAAAUUAUAACGAUGAUGCAAGCAGAAGAUGCUAGGUAUUUGAAAAGGAAAGUGAAAGGAGGAAACAUUGAUGUGCACCCCACAGAAAAAGCUUUGGUUGUGAACUAUGAGCUGGAGGCAACCAUCUUGGGUGAACUGGGUGAUCCCAUGCUGAGAGAAUGGAAAGAAUGCCAAAAAAUCAUAAGGGUGAAGAGUUUGAAUGAUAACAGCGAUUUGGCCAGUUUGGCUAAAGACAUUAUUGAUAAAUGUAAACUGAUACACCCUACAAAACUACCAGAGGUGGAACAGCUGCUGUACUAUCUACAAAACAGAAAGGAAACGGGCCCAUGUAAAGCAUCUGGAAAAACACAACUGCAUGAAAAGCCAGAAGUACCAACAUAUGAUGCCACAGAAAUUGAUGAAGUGGCCAAUAUUAAUGAUGUUGAUGACUACAUGGAACUUCUUUAUGAAGAUGUUCCAGAGAAAAUCCGUGGAUCAGCCCUGCUGCUACAGUUGGCACGAAAUCCAGAUAACUUGGAGGAAUUAUUUCAAAAUGAAACAAUUGUUGGAGCAAUAGCCAGAGUGUUACGAGAAGACUGGAGAAAAAGCACAGAACUGGCCACAAACAUUGUGUACAUCUUCUUCUGUUUCUCCAGCUUUACACAGUUUCAUGGAGUCAUUGUUCAUUUUAAGAUUGGGGCUUUAUGUAUGAAUAUCAUAGAGCAUGAGUUAAAGAAAUAUGACAUGUGGAACGAGGAACUGCAGAAAAAGAAGAAAGCUGCAACUUCAGAUAAAGACAGAAAGGGAAAGGAGGAAUACGAGAGAAGCCUCCAGAAAUACGAGGGUCUGGUCAAAAAGCAGGAACAGCUCUUACGAGUGGCCUAUUACUUGUUGCUGAAUCUGGCAGAGGACCUGAAAGUGGAAAUGAAGAUGAGAAACAAGAGUGUUGUGACUUUCCUUGUGAAGACAUUGGACCGAGACAACUUUGAAUUGCUGAUACUGGUGGUGUCUUUCCUCAAGAAACUCAGCAUAUUUAUAGAGAACAAAACAGAAAUGGCUGAGCUGAACAUUAUAGAGAAGUUGACAAAGUUAGUGCCAUGUGACCAUGAAGACCUGUUGAACAUAACUCUGAGAUUACUGGUUAACCUAUCCUUUGACACUGAACUACGCAGUAAAAUGUUCAAGUUUGGGUUACUACCAAAACUUGUAGGAUUGAUGCAGAAUGAGAAUCACAGACAGAUUGUUUUGAGCAUUUUGUAUCACAUUAGUAUGGAUGACAAAUCAAAGUCAAUGUUCACGUACACCGACUGUAUACCAAUGGUCAUGAAGAUGCUGCUUGAAAGUGGAGAAAAUGUAGAAAUGGAGUUAAUGGCUUUAUGUGUUAAUCUGGCAUCCAACAAACGUGUAGCAGCCAUGAUCUGUGAAGGUCAAGGUCUAAAAAUGUUGAUGAAGCGAUCGUUUAAGUACAAACACCCACUUCUGAUGAAAAUGGUGAGAAAUCUAUCUCAGCACGACGGACCAACCAAAAAUCUCUUUGUGGACUACAUCAGUGACUUGGCACAGGCUUUACUGAAUGAAGACGAAGAAGACUUUGGUCUGGAGUGUUUGGGAAUUCUGGGUAAUCUGACAAUCCCUGAUCUGGAUUAUGAACUGAUUCUAAAGGAGUAUGACAUGAUUCCAUGGAUUAAGAAUCGACUUGAACCAGGUGCUUGUGAAGAUGACUGGGUGUUGGAGGUGAUUAUCCUGGUGGGGACAGUGUGUAAUGAUGAUGCCUGUGCCAAGAUGCUGGCAGAAGCAAACAUUAUCCAUUCAUUGAUUGAGCUUCUAAAUGCUAAACAGGAAGAUGAUGAAAUGGUCUGUCAGAUUGUAUACGUCUUUUACCAAAUGAUCUUCCAUGAGUCAACCAGAGAAGUCAUCAUAAAAGAUACCCAGGCUCCAGCUUACCUUAUUGAUUUGAUGCAUGACAAGAAUUCAGAAAUCAGGAAAGUUUGUGACAAUACUCUGGACAUGAUAGCGGAAUUUGAUGAGGAAUGGGCCAAAAAGAUUCAAUUAGAGAAGUUCCGCUGGCACAAUUCUCAGUGGCUAGAGAUGGUGGAGACCAGGCAGGUCGGGGACAUGGGAGAUCCUUACAUGUACCCAGAUGAGGGGUAUGACCCAUACCUACAAGAUGCUGAUAUUCUAGACAGACCAGACUUAUUUUAUGAUGUUCAAAACCGAGAGAAAGUAACCACAAACUUUCAUUCCUUCAAAACUUUGGAGGAGGAUGUUAGUAACCUGUUAUCCUCAACCAGUAAAAGGACAGUAAUUUCACUUUAUAUACAAAAUUUUCAUUUUAAGUGGGAGCCUUUGUCAAGUCAUGCUAUUUUGCACACAAAAGCAUGGAAAUUACAUGCCAAUAUCUCCUAAUUUCCUUUUAAAUUAAGAUAUAAGAUCAUACCAAACACUUUGAUUAGACAAUCUGUAAUUGUAUAUAUCUUAGUGAAAAGUUAGAAGAAUAUUUUUCUCAAGUAAUCAAGGAUUCGUGUAGUACAAUGCACUAAUAUUGGUAUUCAUUAAUUAGAUGUUCUGACAAGUACCCGUUUAACUUGUUUCUGGUUGACAACCCUAGUAAACAUAAAUGUAUGAGAAUGGGAAGAGGCUUUUUGUGCUGCAUGAAAUUAUUUUGUGCAUUACAGUAAAACUCUGAUAUAGCGAAUUUCUGGGGACCCUCUAUAAAAAUUCGCUAUAAGCGUAAUUCGCUAUACAUUUAUAGCGAAUUCAUAAUUCAAAUAUAACGAAUUCGUUAUAUAACUGAUUUGUUCUACAUGUACAUGUAUAUCAAUUGUAGAAGAAAGCUGCAAUCAAUAUACUUACGCUUGUAUCGUCUUUAAAUGAAAUGAAGCCUAUAUAUUUUCGAGAAGAAAUAUUUUUAUACAAGAAAUAUACACAUUGAUUUAUAUAUGAUAAUUUAUCUUGAUGGAUUAUUAAGUCAUGCAAGAACAUGUCGAAAGACAAAUGUCGACAAAAUUUUGCGCAAUACAUACAUGUACAGUCUAUUGCAAUUGUCAUUUACUUGUUGCUUUACACAAAUAAAGGAGUGUACAAUAAAAGAAAUGGAAUCAAACUUCAAAUCUAAUUAACGAGAAUAGUAAACAAUACCGACAAUAUAUUUCCUAAAUGUAUGUGUAAGUAUUGUUUUGCGUUAACCUUUUUGGAAAAAAUACAAACAGAAAUUUUGUAAUAAGUGUGGAUCCUUUAUGUCAAUGGAAAACGAUUGUUAAAAAUCACAAAGAGUUUAAAAUGAAAAAAAUAAAUUCGUUAUAAAAGGUGAUUUUUACAUUCAUUUUUAAUUCAAGGGGAAUAGGAAUUUACUUCGUUAUAUCUGGAACUUCGCUAUAUCCGUGUUCGUUAUAGACGCAGAUUUUUAUAUAGAAUAUAUAAAGAAUUUGCCGGGGAAAUCGUUUUCACUUCGCUAUAGCCGUAAUUUCGCUAUAUCCGUGUUCGCUAUAUUCGAGUUUUACUGUAUUAUGUCUAAUGAAAUACAGCAAUGCUUGAAUUUUAGAGAGAAAGAAAAGAUUACCUGUAUCUUAAACAUGCUUAUCCCACUAUUUUUGAAUGUUUUCCAUAUCAUUAUAUUUUUGGACAAAAUAUGUUUUUGUUUGCAAGCCAAUGAUUCCUAAGCAUGAUUCAUUAAUUACAUGUACCAGGUACAUGAAUAUGAUUAUUGGAUUUGAGUUGGGUGAAUGUAUUUUCAGUAGUAUUUUUCAUAAGUAGAUUAAGAAAUAUCAACAAAUUUGUAAUACUUUUCCAAGUAAUAUGAUUAUAUUCCACUUCCUUUACAUGUCAAUUUGAUGUCAAAAUGUAAUUUUCAGAUAUGUAUGAAAAUGCUUACAUUAUGGAUGGGCACUUGACACCAGAGUACAUUGAUGAGAAUGGCAUGUACGAUGGACCACCUUAUGCUUACGGGUAUGGUAACCCCAUGGAAGGCGGGUACGAUCCCUACGAAAGACCGGAAUCACAC